GGGGGCAGGCAUCGCGGAGCUGAUGCAGCACGCCGCGUGCGGGAUGACGGCCUUCGGGUUGUAAACCGCUUUCGCCUGUGACGAAGCGUGAGUGACGGUAAUGGGUAAAGAAGCACCGGCUAACUACGUGCCAGCAGCCGCGGUGAUACGUAGGGUGCGAGCGUUGUCCGGAUUUAUUGGGCGUAAAGGGCUCGUAGGUGGUUGAUCGCGUCGGAAGUGUAAUCUUGGGGCUUAACCCUGAGCGUGCUUUCGAUACGGGUUGACUUGAGGAAGGUAGGGGAGAAUGGAAUUCCUGGUGGAGCGGUGGAAUGCGCAGAUAUCAGGAGGAACACCAGUGGCGAAGGCGGUUCUCUAGGCCUUUCCUGACGCUGAGGAGCGAAAGCGUGGGGAGCGAACAGGCUUAGAUACCCUGGUAGUCCACGCUGUAAACGGUGGGUACUAGGUGUGGGGUCCAUUCCACGGGUUCCGUGCCGUAGCUAACGCUUUAAGUACCCCGCCUGGGGAGUACGGCCGCAAGGCUAAAACUCAAAGGAAUUUGACGGAUAGA
rnacentral:rRNA from 1 species